GGACAUAAAGGUGAUACUGUCACCACAUUGAUGGCUGGAUUGAUUCUGCUGACCUGGCUAGAUAGUCAGGGGUCCUCAUCUUUCCUUACUUUUCCAUGUGUAUUUCUGCUUAAGCAGAAACUUGGUUGAAGAGGAUGACCUUCCCAUAUAGAGGAAGACCAUUCUCCAGUACAGAGCAUGAGUAGCUGUGCUUCUCUGCUAGAAGCUCCGAAUGAGCUUUCAAAGUUUACUCAAAGGCCAUAGUGAUCAGGACAGUGGGGUAUUUUGUGAAAGUAGAUAAAUGAAUCUGUGGCACAGAGUAGAGACUCAAGAAAUGGAGCCACUUUAU
ensembl:misc_RNA 7SK 7SK RNA